UACGAAGGGGGCUAGCGUUGCUCGGAACACUGGGCGUAAAGGGUGCGUAGGCGGGUCUUUAAGUCAGGGGUGAAAUCCUGGAGCUCAACUCCAGAACUGCCUUUGAUACUGAGGAUCUUGAGUACGGGAGAGGUGAGUGGAACUGCGAGUGUAGAGGUGAAAUUCGUAGAUAUUCGCAAGAACACCAGUGGCGAAGGCGGC
rnacentral:rRNA from 1 species